ensembl:lncRNA
AAAAAAAAAAUUUUUAAGAUGGAGUUUUGCUCUUGUUGCCCAGGCUGGAGUGCAGUGGCACGAUCUUGACUCACUACAACCUCCGCCUCCCAGAUUCAAGCGAUUCUCCUGCCUCAGCCUCUGGAGUAGCUGGGAUUACAGGCAUGCACCACCAUGCCCAGCUAAUUUUUAGUAUUUUAAGUAGAGACUGGGUUGCACCAUGUUGGACAGGCUGAUCUUGAUCUCCAGAACUUGUGAUCCACCCUCCUCAGCCUCUCAAAUUGUUGGAAUUACAGGCGUGAGCCACCAUGCCCAGCCAACACAAAAAUGUUUUUAAAAAAUCAGCCAGGUAUUGUGGUAUGUGCUAUGAUCCCAGAUACUCAGAAGGGGGAUUGCUUGAGCCCAGGGGGCCAAGGUUGCAGGAAGUCAUUGUGCCACUGUACUCCAGUCUGGGUGACAGAGUGAGAUUCUGUCUCAAAAUAAAAGCUGCAAUUGGCAAUGAAGCAGCAGCCAGUUCUAUCAGUCAAAACAACUGCUCUAUUUGUGGCUUGAACAAUGUUUAUGCUUUGUCUGUUUUCAGAUGUGAUGCUGGAGUGGUCCUAUUCUGGUCCAAAUCCAUCCUGGUCACAGAGGAGUCUUGUCUAACAGUGUUGUGGAAAAUUGUUCAUUGUCAUGUUCAACAAGAGAACAUGGCCCAGGAUAGCACCAGGACAGAUCUGUUUCAGAAUGUAAGACAUAGCGGGCGAGCACUCUGAACUCCCCAGAAGGCUUUGUCUGGAGAGCUACUGAGGUUUUCUACCAUCUAGUCUUGGGAUGCUGAAGCCUCAAGAGAUUGGAAAUGAAUGCAAUUCUCAGCCACCUGGCAUUGUUGGUAUGCGAGCUCAAGGGUCGUCUCAUCCCAUUGGAGAAGUUCUGUUCUUGUCUUUCACCAUGGAAUCAUUUACUCUUGGGGUGGGGGACAAGUGCCACUCAGAAGUAGCUUAAACUUCCUUUUCUUCUUCUUUUUUUUUUUUCAGUAGAGUCAGGAUUUUUGUCCUCCAGUUUGCAGCACAGUGGCAAAUUAUACCUCACUGUGCCCUGGAACUCCUGGGCUCAAGGAUCCUCAAGCCUCCCAAGCAGCUAGGAGUACAGGUACAAGCCACUUCUUAAGGGAGACUCACCACAGAGAACAAUGGGCCACAUUGGCUUUUGUUAAUUGGUGAAAAUGUUUUGUUGGUCCAUAUAGAUACGGCUACUCUAUGGACAAACAAAGCCAUCUCACCAAUUAAAUUAGCCACCCCAAACCAUGAAUGUGGUGAUUAACAACUUGGAUAUAUUAGUUUCACUGUGUUAGCCAGGCUGGUCUCAAACUUCUGACUUCCUGAUCCCCCCGCCUUGGCCUCCCAAAGUGCUGGGAUUACAGGUGGGAGUCACCACACCCGGCCAAUCUUAGCUGUCUUAUUGUGAAUGUGAGGUCUUGUGACAGGGUAUCUCCUGUGUCCUGGGGGUGGAUCUGCACUCUGCCUGAUGGCCCAGCUACUUUGCCAAACCCUGCCUGCUUGGUCUUCACUGGGUUGCGCCUGCUAUGAAUGGUUACAGCCUAGGCACGGGACUGCAUUUCCUCUGUUGAAUAGUGGUGCUGGGAAGCCCUCUUGCAACCACGCCUUUAAUCUCCUCCUCUCUCCUGGGAGAAGCUGGAGAGAUACAGGUCAUGGGGGCCUCCUCUGGGAGAAAGGAGAUAGAAACACCAGAUACCCCUCCAUCUAUUGCAGCUGUUGAGUUUAAUUUCUUAUUCUAUCUGAAGGAUGCUUUUUAGAACAGCAGACACAUGUAUAGUAAACAUAUUUUUGAACCUCAAGAGGGGCAGUAGUAAUGGGAUGGAAGUGAGGCCACAUGGGUCCAGUUCCAGCCCUGAAAUUCACUGGCUCCAUGUGGGAGCUCAGGGCCAUAGUGUCAUCAUCAAAUGGCAUUGAGGUUUCUCCUGCCAUUGAUACACGUUUGCAGUAGGUAUUAUUUCUGCAUCAUUUGCGUUUUCAGUUAUGACACUUCACCUCUUUCUCAGUAUCACACACAAUUCAGUGUUGACUGCGAUAUUCUCAAAAGCACACAGGCUGGGCAUAGUGGCCAUGUCUAUAAUCACAAUGCUUUUGGAGGCAGAGGUGGGUGGAUCUUUGGGGCCAGGAGUUUGACACCAGCCUGGGCAACAAAGUGAAACCCCAUUUAUUUUUAUUUUUAUUUUUUGAGACGGAAUCUCGCCCUGUCACCCAGGCUGGAGUGCAGUGGCACCAUCUCAUCUCACUGCAACCUCUGCCUCCCAGGUUCAAGCGAUUCUCUUGCUUCAGCCUCCCAAGUAGCUGAAACUACAGGCACCCACCACCACGUCUGGCUACUUUUUGUUCUAGUAGAGAUGGGGUUUCACCAUAUUGGUUAGGCUGGUAUAGAACUCCUGACCUUGUGAUCUACCCACUUACACCCCCCCAAAAUGGUGGGAUUAUAGGCAUGAGCCACUGUCCCUGGCCAUGAGACUCCAUUUCUAUAAAAAUAUUUAAAAAUUAUCCAGGCAUGGUGGCAUGUGCCUGUGGUCUCAGCUACUUUGGAGGCUGAGAUGGGAGGAUAGCUUGAGCCUGGGAGGUCAAGGCUGUAGUGAGCCAUGAUGGUGCCAGUGCACUCCAGCCUGAAUCACAGAGUAAGACCCUGUCUUAAAAAAAAAAGGCAUGUAAAUGAUUUUACUAGUUGGACAUUAAAGAAGUUUUAACCCACUCUUUUAUUUCUUCUCUCUCUUAAAAACUAUAUGUUGCCUACAAGAAAUUCUAUUUCUUCUGUCCUGUAGAAUUUUUAUUUCACUCCAUAACUUUACAUUUAUGUAAAUGACAUAAAUGACAUCAGGAUAUCAUGGAUCUGUCAAGUAUUCUGUAGAUCUCCUUAACAUUUAAAUAACUUUUGAAUUGUUUUUCAACUUGUUUCUAUUAUAUCCAUCAGGUUGUAUGUAGAUGGUAACAACCAAUAAUGACACAGAAUGAGUGCUGUGCACAGGACAUCCAUUGAUGUCUGUCUCCUAUCACAUCUUUAUCUCUCAAAACAAAUUUGGAACUCAGUCAUGUUUGGAAUUUUCAGUCAGUUUAAGCAUAAGUCUCUCCUAUUGAUGUGGCUGAUUUUUACUCUAGAUUUAUCCCCAUUCAAUUAGCCACUUUAAAACAGGCCUCUUCAUUGAAACCUAAAAUUACAGCCCCAUAGAGGAAGGAUCCAAGACGGCCGACCACUAACCCCUCGGGAUUGUAGCUCCCAGUGAAAGCUCAGAGAACGAGACGAUGCCACAUCUUUAGACGAAUUUUCGUCACUCACCAAUCAGCCGAUUCCCAGUGGAGGAGCCCCACGGGUCACCAGCGCGACUCUUGUGGCCGCCGCAGCAGUUUUGCUGGCGUCUCGGCGCAGCAGCUCUUCAUGCAGAGCCAACGGGACUGCUUCCCCUACUGAUCGGAGUUUGGAGCUCUGGGAAAUCAGAGCCGCUUGUUGCGGACUCAAGAGGGAAGCCAGACCAGAGAUUCCCGGGCAGAAGAGCACCAUCAGUCUUAUCGCUGCUAUUUAGGCCGCCACAGUGGGUUGCUCGGAUCCCAGCACUGGGAAUCAAUAAGUCGGACGCCGACUCAGAAACCUAAUUAGAAAGGCGGUUCAUCUACAAUGAAGGAAAAAAAACAGCCUAAGAAGGCUGAGUAUACUCAAAAUCAGAACCCAUCUGCAACGGGACAAGCCCUGAUGGAAAAGGACUCAUCAGCAACCGAACAAGCCCUGAUGGAAAAGGACUCAUCAGUAACGGAACAAGCCCUGAUGGAAAAGGACUGUGUUCCAUUAUCUGAAGUUGGCUUUAAAAGGUGGAUGAUAAGAAACUUCUGGGAGUUAAAGGAACUUGUUCUAACCCAAUGUAAAGAAACUAAGAACUUGGAAAAAAGGUUCGAUGAAAUGUUGAAAAGAAUAGACAAUAUAAAGAGGAAUAUAAAUGAACUUAUGGAGUUGAAAAAUACAACACGAGAAGUUAGUGAAAUAUGUACAAGCUUAAGCAGCCGAAUGGAUCAAACAGAAGAAAGGAUAUCAGAGGUCGAAGACCAACUUAAUGAAACAAAAUGACAAG